AAUGCCCAUCAUGUGUUACUCCAAAAAAGACACCCAGCUCCCAACCCGGUCACCCGACCCCCGCUGGGCACCUUGCCUCCUGGCAGUUCCAUUCCCAAAAUCCCUCCGUAAACGGCACAGAACUUCCGCGUAAACCUCAAUAUAAGCCAUCUGUGUCACACCUAAGCCCCAGCAUGGAGAGUGCAGCAUUGCCCACAGGGUUUUCAGGACCUGGAGGUGUGUUCAGAACUCGUGGUUGGACCUGUCAAUGCCUGUCCCACAAACCCAAGCAGCAGGAGCCACCCCCUGGAGGGCCUUCACCCCCAGCCCAAGGGCCGUUUGCCAUGGACCUCAGGGAGCAGAGAGCGAUGAGUGGUGACCACCAGCCCCCUUCCCCAGGAAGGACCAGCCUGGACUCUAACUCUCCUCCCCAAAGGCCAAGGAGGGAGGCCUGCUGUGCACAAACAUCUGCUGGUGCUGAGGAUAUCAAAAGUCCUACCAGAAGAGCCUCGUUAAAGUAUAAACUUAAACUUUGUCCUCUGCAGGGCAGGUCAAAGUACCCAAUAACUAUCUGAGGUAUGUGCCAGAAGUGCCAUUAAACACCUCGUACACCCAGCCACUUAAUUUCUAAAUGUCCCCUGCCUUUUCAUGUUGCCUUUUUUAUUGUGCUUUAAACUUUCUUUUAUUUGUAGAGUGACAGCAUGAAAGCCAGGGUACCUCACCUGACCAAGUUUUAGUCAUGAGAUUGCAGUCCUAAUUAUUAGCAGGGAUCAAAAGAACAAAACAUCAUGACAUCUUACUUAAGUGUAUAUAAAAUCAGACUGUAUCAAACCUUUACAAAAUGCCCCCCCACCUUACUGUCCAGUAAUUAUCAUUUCUACAAAUGGGUAAAUGCAGAAGCUUUUUGUGAUUAAAGUGCCCUAAAUUAACUUCUGAAAUGAAGUAUGCAGCUGAAAGUUUAUUUUUAUUUUUAAAUGUUUCCUCUACAAAAAUACAUCCAAACAAUAUUUUUAAUUAAUAAAGUGAUAAAAAUUAUUUGAUUUCUUGAUUUAUAACACUAUUGACACAAACCAUUGAGUAUGUUUAUUAAGAAGAAAGGUAACAAAUAGUAAUUGUUGUUGGAAGGUAUUUGAAGCAGAAAAGCUCCUUCCUCAUUCUUUAGGCCUCAGGAAUCUUCCAUAUUGUGAGUUUUUCAUGGAGUUGUAUGCAGAGGACAGAUUUCUCUACUCUCCAGCUGACAGAUUGAUUUGAGACUGGUGCCAGCAGCAGACGUGGCCCUCAGUGGGACCAGAACUACCCCACUGCCACCAAGACAGAAGGGCGAUCUUGUAGGCAGUGAAAGGGCAAAGACUCAUUUUUAUUACACCCUUUAUGAUAAUUAUUAAAAGCCUCAAUUAAAUCUAUAUCCUACAGUAAAUCUGGGUAAUAAGCAACAGCAGUGUUUGAGAGAAUUCUUUCUCCCUCACUGCUUGUGCUGCAGUUUAACCUCAGCUGGGAGCUCAGCCCCCCAGAGCUGCUCCUCAAUCUCCCCAGAGGGAAUUGGAAAGUGAGAAAACUUUGGGGCUGAGGUCAAGACAGGGAAUAGGUUAAAGCAAAAGCAGCGCACACAAGCAAAGCAAAACAAGGAAUUAAUUCACCACUUCCCAUAGGCAGGCUGGUGGUCAGCCCUCCUCAGGAAAGUUGGGAUGACAGUGACUUGGGAAGACAAACACCAUCACUCUGAACAUCUCCCUCGUUGUCCUUCUUCCCUCAGCUCCACAUGCUGAGCAUGACACCCCGUGGUAUGGGAUAGCCCCUGGGUCAGCUGGAGUCAACCCCUGGACUCCUCAUGGUGUGAGAGGCAGAAGAGGCCUUGUCUCAACAAUAAUGGAACAUCCCUGUGCCAUCAACAGUUUCCAGCACAAAUCCAAACCACAGCCCCACUCCAGCUACUCUGAAGAAAAUGAACUCAAUCCCAGCCAAACCCAGCACACCUGAGAACUGGCUGCUGGAGACUAAGAGUGGCACAACCUCCACGGGUUGGCACAAGCAAAUUCCAAAGUGCAGUAGACAUUCCAGUGCGGUGCUGCAGUUAUGGCAAGAAGCUCACUGUGCUCAGGUCUGGUGGCAGUGACUACUUCUGGUUUGUUGCAAACAAUAAUUUGGAAAUAACACGAUGUUAGCAGUGCAGACUUCCAAAGGACAAAGAUAACAGGGUAUAACCUCUAAUUGCUAAAACCAGUCUCAUCAUUGCUAUCUCGUUAUCCAGUAAUGAAAAAGCUGUUCAGAUACUUUAGGUGUUAUCUAGAGCUAAGAGCACUUUUCUGUUUAAUUUCACCAUGUGGUCCACUGAUACUACUGAUAAGGACAAGCUUUAACUACAAAUAGUAUGUGGCUGCAGAAUGGUUUCAGUUGAUUGUCAUCAAGGUCUCUGCAAAAAAAAAGCACAGACUCACUACAUCACUACACUGAUGCCCACAAGUUUGCGGGGUAUGAAUUUGUGCUUUCCACUGAGGUAUCUCAGUGCUUGUCAAAUAAAUCUUUUAAGCUCUG